UACGGAGGGUGCGAGCGUUGUCCGGAAUCAUUGGGCGUAAAGGGCGCGUAGGUGGCCCGGUCAGUUCGUGGUGAAAGCGCGGGGCUCAACCCUGCGUCGCCAUGAAUACUGCCGCGGCUGGAGCACUGUAGAGGCAGGCGGAAUUCCGGGUGUAGCGGUGGAAUGCGUAGAGAUCCGGAAGAACACCGGUGGCGAAGGCGGCUCUCUGGACCGAUACGUGACGCUGAGCGCGAAAGCGUGGGGAGCAA
rnacentral:rRNA from 1 species